ACUGCUCAGUAACACGUGGAUAACCUACCCAAGAGUCCGGGAUAACCCCGGGAAACUGGGGAUAAUACCGGAUAGGCCACCCAGGCUGGAAGGCGGGGUGGUUGAAACUUCCGGGGCUUUUGGAUGGGUCUGCGGCUGAUUAGGUUGUUGCCGGUGUAAUGUACCGUCAAGCCUGUAAUCAGUACGGGUUGUGGGAGCAAGAGCCCGGAGAUGGAUUCUGAGACACGAAUCCAGGCCCUACGGGGCGCAGCAGGCGCGAAAACUCUACAAUGCAGGCAACUGCGAUAGGGGAACAUCGAGUGAUCCUCAUAUUGGGGGUCUGUCCACUCGCCUAAAAAGCGGGUGUUAGCAAGGGCCGGGCAAGACCGGUGCCAGCCGCCGCGGUAAUACCGGCGGCUCGAGUGGUGGCCGAUAUUAUUGAGUCUAAAGGGUCCGUAGCCGGCUUUGCAAGUCUCUCGGGAAAUCCAGCGGCUUAACCGUUGGUCGUCCGGGGGGUACUACAUUGCUUGGGACUGGGAGAAGUAGGAGGUACUCAGGGGGUAGGAGUGAAAUCCUGUAAUCCUUUGGGGACCACCGGUGGCGAAGGCGUCCUACCAGAACAGGUCCGACGGUGAGGGACGAAAGCUAGGGGCACGAACCGGAUUAGAUACCCGGGUAGUCCUAGCCGUAAACGAUGCUCGCUAGGUGUCACAACAGUCGUGAACUGUUGUGGUGCCGUAGGGAAGCCGUGAAGCGAGCCACUUGGGAAGUACGACCGCAAGGCUGAAACUUAAAGGAAUUGGCGGGGGAGCACA
rnacentral:rRNA from 1 species